ACACGACCGUACCGCAAACCGACACUGGUGCGCGAGAUGAGUAUUCUAAGGCGCUUGAGAGAACUCAGGAGAAGGAACUCGGCAAAUUGACACCGUAACUUCGGAAGAAGGUGUGCCUUUAGUAGGUGAAGUCCCUCGCGGAUGGAGCCCAAUGAGGUUGCAAAGAAUCGGUGGCUGCGACUGUUUAUUAAAAACACAGCACUCUGCAAACACGAAAGUGGACGUAUAGGGUGUGACGCCUGCCCGGUGCUGGAAGAUUAAAUGAUGGGGUGCAAGCUCUUGAUUGAAGUCCCAGUAAACGGCGGCCGUAACUAUAACGGUCCUAAGGUAGCGAAAUUCCUUGUCGGGUAAGUUCCGACCUGCACGAAUGGCGUAACGAUGGCCACACUGUCUCCUCCUGAGACUCAGCGAAGUUGAAAUGUUUGUGAUGAUGCAAUCUCCCCGCGGAAAGACGGAAAGACCCCAUGAACCUUUACUGUAGCUUUGUAUUGGACUUUGAACAGAUCUGUGUAGGAUAGGUGGGAGGCUUUGAAGCAGGGUCGCUAGAUCUUGUGGAGCCAACGUUGAAAUACCACCCUGGUGUGUUUGAGGUUCUAACCUAGGCCCGUAAUCCGGGUUGGGGACAGUGCAUGGUAGGCAGUUUGACUGGGGCGGUCUCCUCCCAAAGUGUAACGGAGGAGUUCGAAGGUACGCUAGUUACGGUCGGACAUCGUGACGAUAGUGCAAUGGCAUAAGCGUGCUUAACUGCGAGACUGACAAGUCGAGCAGAUGCGAAAGCAGGACAUAGUGAUCCGGUGGUUCUGUAUGGAAGGGCCAUCGCUCAACGGAUAAAAGGUACUCUGGGGAUAACAGGCUGAUACCGCCCAAGAGUUCAUAUCGACGGCGGUGUUUGGCACCUCGAUGUCGGCUCAUCUCAUCCUGGGGCUGUAGCCGGUCCCAAGGGUAUGGCUGUUCGCCAUUUAAAGAGGUACGUGAGCUGGGUUUAAAACGUCGUGAGACAGUUUGGUCCCUAUCUUCCGUGGGCGCUGCAGAUUUGAGGAAGCCUGCUCCUAGUACGAGAGGACCGGAGUGGACGCACCUCUGGUGUAUCGGUUGUCACGCCAGUGGCAUUGCCGAGUAGCUAUGUGCGGAAGAGAUAACCGCUGAAAGCAUCUAAGCGGGAAACUCGUUUCAAGAUGAGAUCUGCCGGGGCCUUGAGCCCCCUGAAGAGUCGUUCAAGACCAGGACGUUGAUAGGUCGGGUGUGGAAGCGCAGUAAUGCGUUAAGCUAACCGAUACUAAUUGCUCGUGCGGCUUGACCCC
rnacentral:rRNA from 1 species